GAUUGAAUGGCUAAGUGAGGCUUUCGGACUGCCCUAGGAAGGGUGGCAACACCCAUCCAGGGGCGGAAAGUUAUCCAAACUUGGUCAUUUAGAGGAAGUAAAAGUCGUAACAAGGUUUCCGUAGGUGAACCUGCGGAAGGAUCAUUACAGAGUUCGUGCCCGGAAGGGUAGACCUCCCACCCUUGUGUAUUGUUACUUUGUUGCUUUGGCAGGCUGCCUUUGCGCCUGCCAGAGGUUCGUCAAACUCUUUUUAUCAAUGUCGUCUGAGUACUAUACAAUAGUUAAAACUUUCAACAACGGAUCUCUUGGUUCUGGCAUCGAUGAAGAACGCAGCGAAAUGCGAUAAGUAAUGUGAAUUGCAGAAUUCAGUGAAUCAUCGAAUCUUUGAACGCACAUUGCGCCCCUUGGUAUUCCGGGGGGCAUGCCUGUUCGAGCGUCAUUUCAACCCUCAAGCGCAGCUUGGUAUUGAGCCCUUGUCAGUGAUGGCAGGCUCUAAAAUCAGUGGCGGCGCCGUUGGGUCCUGAACGUAGUAAUAUCUCUCGUUACAGGCCCCCAGCGUGCUUCUGCCAACACCUAAAUUUCUAGUGUUGACCUCGGAUCAGGUAGGGAUACCCGCUGAACUUAAGCAUAUCAAUAAGCGGAGGAAAAGAAACCAACAGGGAUUACCUCAGUAACGGCGAGUGAAGCGGUAAAAGCUCAAAUUUGAAAUCUGGCUCUCUUAGGGUCCGAGUUGUAAUUUGUAGAAGAUGCUUCGGGUGUGGUUCCGGUCUAAGUUCCUUGGAACAGGACGUCAUAGAGGGUGAGAAUCCCGUAUGUGAUUGGAUACCUACGCUCAUGUGAAGCUCUUUCGACGAGUCGAGUUGUUUGGGAAUGCAGCUCAAAAUGGGUGGUAUAUUUCAUCUAAAGCUAAAUAUUGGCCAGAGACCGAUAGCGCACAAGUAGAGUGAUCGAAAGAUGAAAAGCACUUUGGAAAGAGAGUUAAACAGUACGUGAAAUUGUUGAAAGGGAAGCGCUUGCAAUCAGACUUGGACUUGGUGUUCAGCAGGGCCUCGUGCCCUGUGUAUUUCACCAAGUACAGGCCAGCAUCAGUUUGGGUGGUUAGAUAAAGGCUUAGAGAAUGUGGCCCUCUUCGGGGGGUGUUAUAGCUCUAGGUGCAAUGUAGCCUACCUGGACUGAGGACCGCGCUUCGGCUAGGAUGCUGGCGUAAUGGUUGUAAGCGACCCGUCUUGAAACACGGACCAAGGAGUGUACCUAAUAUGCGAGUGUUUGGGUGUUAAACCCAUACGCGUAAUGAAAGUGAACGGAGGUGAGAACCCUUAAGGGUGCAUCAUCGACCGAUCCUGAUGUCUUCGGAUGGAUUUGAGUAAGAGCAUAUUGGGUGCUACCCGAAAGAUGGUGAUCUAUACGUGAAUAGGGUGAAGCCAGAGGAAACUCUGGUGGAGGCUCGCAGCGGUUCUGACGUGCAAAUCGAUCGUCAAAUUUGCGUAUAGGGGCGAAAGAC
rnacentral:rRNA from 1 species